rnacentral:rRNA from 1 species
UACGUAGGUGGCGAGCGUUGUCCGGAUUUAUUGGGUUUAAAGGGUGCGUAGGCGGCUUAUUAAGUCAGUGGUGAAAUAUUACAGCUUAACUGUGAGGGUGCCAUUGAUACUGAUGAGCUUGAGUAAAGUCGAGGUAGGCGGAAUUGACGGUGUAGCGGUGAAAUGCAUAGAUAUCGUCAAGAACACCGAUAGUGAAGACAGCUUACUAGACUUAUACUGACGCUGAGGCACGAAAGUGUGGGGAUCAAACAGG